CAUACCUUUUGGGGGGUGGGCACAACUCAACCCACAAGGAAGUUCAUGUCUGCGGACGGCUUAUUUGAUGUCCCGCACUCUGCUAGGAGCUACGCAUGAGCUGUCUGAUUGGAUCCUCACGACUGAAGUAUGGGAUGUGCCUUCAAAACCCAGGCUUUCAGGUGUUCAGGCUGAGACCACCCACCGUCCCAGGUUGGGGCCUCGACAACAGUGACAAAGGCCACCCCCACUCCUGAACCCCCCGUGAUGAGCAGGUGUGCCGCCAGGUGCUUUGCACCUUCAUCUCAUCCAACACCAAGUGAUGGGGAUGUCGAUGAGGCCCAGAGAGGACCACACACCCCCCUACAACUCUCCCAAGAGCAUCAGCCCCGUGCCAAAGCCACCGAGUAGCGCUGACCUCUAUCACCUCGGCCCAGGGUGGGUUGUGCAGAGUGUGGCUGGUGUGGGCAGAAGAGGAGUCUCCAUGGCAGAACUAUUUUUU